GAGAGAAAGAGAGAGCAAGAGCAGGGUGGCACUGGGAGAGGAGCAAACAAGCGAGCAAAUAGGAGACGGAGGGAGAGAGAGAGAGUGAGCGAGAGCAAGAAAGGGAGGGAGGCGAAUAACACUGCAGACACUCGCCCACUGUCACUGCUCCACAGCUAGAGGACAGAGGCAGCAACGGCAACAGUGGGAGCGGAAACGAUGGAGGAGGACGACUGUUCCAUCCAUCUGCAGCUCAACGCCCGACACUGACAUCCCCCCUCGGGGACCAUCCUGCCAAGUUGGGAGGAAAACGGAGAAAAAAGAGGAGAAAACAACUUUCUCUGUCCUUCACAAGACCAAGUACUGGACCUCAACUCCUGCAGGACUGAUAACACACUACACACACACACACCCCUUGGUUUUUCCCUCUCUUACACACCCAUACACUUACUCUCACCCUCUCUCACAGCUUACGUUGCCUUCUGGACUACUGUGUUGUUUUUUUUGUGAUUGACUGCCUUCGCUGACCUUCUGAGCUGAGUGGAUUUACUUUUAUCCUGUGGCGAACCAUGGGGCUGGGGUGGAGGGGUGCAGCAGGGACCCUCCAAAAAAGGACAGAGGGGAGCUGGUACCUUUUGGUGACAUUGCUGCUGCUCUGUGGUUUCUGGACAGUUCACACACAGACAGAUGAUGGGAAGUCUGUCUACUUCUGGGAAACAGGUCCGUGGGGAAGGUGCAUGGGCAGCGACUGUGGCCCAGGAGGAAGCCAAAGCCGGGCAGUCUGGUGUGCCCAUGUGGACGGCUGGACGACGCUUCACACCAACUGUGACCAGGGCCAGCGUCCCUCCAACCAGAGAAACUGUUUCCGUGUGUGCGACUGGCACAAGGACCUUUAUGACUGGAAACUAGGUGCCUGGAAUGAGUGUGUGCCAGUGUCAGCAAGGACCUUUGGGGCCAUGCGGCCAUUAACAUGCAGCGGAGGGGAAGAGGGCAUUCAGACCCGGGAGGUGGACUGCAUACUCAAGUCAGACAGCACUGCAGCAGAGGAUGCCAUCUGUGAGUACUUUGAGCCCAAGCCUCGCCUGGAGCAGGCGUGUUUGAUCCCUUGCCCCCAGGACUGUGUGGUUUCUGAGUACACGGCAUGGACGUCCUGCUCCAAAACGUGUGGAACAGGUCUCAGGAACAGGGUCCGUAGUGUCCUGGUUCCACCACUUUUUGGAGGCACUGCCUGCCCCAACCUAACUGAGUUCCAGUCCUGUAAACCGGGGCCUUGCACAGGUCCAGAGGGCAUGUACAGUCUCAUGGUUGGACUGUGGAGCCCCUGCGCCCUCCCACAGACUCGGACAGCGCGACAAGCCAAGCGCAGGAAAGGUAAAGACCAGGGGCUCAGGGACCGAGCGGGAGUCAAAGAUCCAGAGACCAGGGAGCUUAUCCAGAAAAAACGGACCAGGAACCGGCUUAACCGGCAAGAGAGUCCGUUCUGGGACAUCCAGGUGGGCUACCAGACUCGGGAUGUGAUCUGCAUACAUAGGAAUGGGAGCGCUGUGGGACGCAACCUCUGUACACUGCGGGACCUGCCGCUGACCGUCCAGUCCUGCGUCCUCCCCAAGGACUGCCAGGUCACCGACUGGGCCGAAUGGGGCCCUUGCUCCAAAACCUGCCUGGACGCUGAGUCUCCCAGAGGAAACUGCACCCGGAGCAGACAGGUGCUCCAGUUCCCUGUGGGUGAGGGGGAAGAGUGUCCGCCGCUAGAGGAGUUGGAGUCUUGUGAACCUCAGGGGGACAGCAUCCCGCCCUGCGCCACUUACACAUGGAGGACCACAGAGUGGAGCGACUGCCGGGUUGACUUGUUGCUAAGCCAACAGGAUCGUCGACGUAGCAACCUGACGGGGCUCUGUGGAGGAGGCCUGCAGACCAGAGAAGUUUAUUGUGUUGAGGCAAAUGCUGAGCUUCUAAAAUACCUCAAUGACCUCAGAGAAAAAGAAAAAGCGGGUCAGACCCAAAGACAGCAGAAGCCUAGUGUCCCCCCUCUCCUCUCCAUCACCUUCCAGAUCACAGCCUCCCACCCGGUGGAGAACAGGCUAUGCGAGGGGUCGAUCCCCAACAGGUCCCAGCUUUGCCAAAUCCCCUGUCCCAUCGACUGUGAAGUGUCGCCGUGGGGCGCCUGGGGGCCGUGCACCUUUGAAAACUGUGAUGAUCAAGCCGGAAAGAAAGGCUUUAAACUGAGGAAGCGACGAAUCACCAACGAGCCAACGGGAGGGCCUGGAAACUGCCCGCACCUGGUGGAGGCGGUGCCUUGUGACGAGCCCAUUUGUUACGAUUGGCAACUGGUCGGCCUGGAUCAGUGUGUUCCUGAAGACGAGAGGCCAUGUGGUGCUGGCACUCAGCUCGCUGAGGUUCAGUGCGUCAACAGCAACGGAGAGGUGGUGGAUAGCAGCCUCUGCUCGUCUUCCGCGGCUCCCAAACCCGUGCCCUGUGAGGUGCCUUGCUCAAGAGACUGUGUGCUCAGCGACUGGACCCCCUGGUCCACCUGCUCUCAGACCUGCUCCAGUAAGACAAUCGAGGGGAAGCAGAUGAGGAUCCGCUCCAUCCUGGCUUACAAUGCAGGCGAAGGCGGCAUCCCGUGCCCCAACAGUAGCUCCCUUCAGGAGGUGCGGAACUGUAACGAACAUGCCUGCACAGUUUACCACUGGCAGACCGGAUCAUGGGGCCCCUGCACGGACGACCCCUCUUCCUCGUCCCUGAACGCCUCCUCCAGUGCCCGUGCCUCCACCAACAGUCAGGGCACCUGCUCCAUGGGAAUGCAGACUCGGAAGGUCAUCUGCGUACGGGUCAAUGUGGGACAGGUGCCUCCCAAGAAGUGUCCAGACGGCCCUCGCCCCAGCACAGUGCGACCAUGUCAGCUGCCCUGCAAGAAGGAUUGUAUCGUGACCCCGUUCAGCGACUGGACGCCAUGUCCUGUUACUUGCGACGCAGCAGGUAAUCCUGUGAAGAGAAAGCAGUCGAAGAAACGUCUUACGAUCCAGCUGCCGUCCAACGGAGGACAGGACUGUCCGGAGUUGAUGGAGGAGGAGAGGGACUGUGAGGUUCCCAAAGUCUGUCCAGGAGUCAGGUGGAAAACUCACAAAUGGAGAAAGUGCCAGCUGGUCCCGUGGUUUCUCAGAAAGGACAGUCCCAGUGCGCAGGAGGCUUGUGGACUCGGACUUCAGACCAGAGCUGUGUCCUGUCGCCAGCUGGACGGGACGCAGGCUGACAUCAGCGAUUGUCUGAAAUUCGCUAAGUCCAUGCCUGCCAUCACUCAGCGCUGUCAGCUCCCCUGCCAGGAUGACUGCCAGCUGACCAACUGGUCCAAGUUCUCCUCCUGCACAGCCGACUGUGUCGGCGUCCGCACCAGGAAGAGGGCAUUGAUAGGUAGGAGCAAAAAGAAGGACAAGUGCAAGAACACGCAAAUGUAUCCUCUGAGUGAGACCCAGUACUGUCCCUGCGACAAGUACAAUGCCCAGCCAGUGGGGAACUGGUCAGACUGCAUCCUGCCUGAGGGAGGCAGAGUGGAGAGCAUCCUGGGAAUGAAGGUCCAGGGAGACAUCAAGGAGUGCGGACAGGGCUACCGCUACCAGGCCAUGGUGUGUUACGACCAGGACAACAGGCUGGUGGAGACGUCGCGCUGCAACAGUCACGGGUAUAUUGAGGAGGCAUGCAUCAUCCCGUGUCCUUCAGACUGUAAACUCAGUGAAUGGUCCAACUGGUCACGCUGCAGCAAAUCCUGCGGCAGCGGAGUCAAAGUUCGCUCCAAGUGGCUGCGAGAGAAACCUUACAACGGCGGACGUCCUUGUCCCAAACUCGACCACAUCAACCAGGCCCAGGUUUACGAGGUGGUUCCGUGUCAGAGCGACUGUAACCAGUACGUGUGGGUGGCUGAGCCGUGGAGUGUGUGGAAAGUCAGCAACGUGGACUUAAAGGAGAACUGUGGCGAAGGCGUCCAGACCAGAAAAGUCAGGUGCAUGCUGAACACCAUAGACGGCCCAUCAGAGCCAGUUGAGGACUACCUAUGUGACCCGGAGGAGAUGCCCCUGGGGGCCAGGGAGAGCCAGCUGCCCUGCCCAGAGGACUGCGUUCUCAAUGACUGGGGGCCCUGGAGCCGCUGCAGCCUGCCCUGCACCAGAACCAACAGUCGGAUUCGGGUGGCGUACACCCUCCGGACGCCCAGUGUGGGGAGGCAGUGUCCGGACACGACUGACAAGGAGCCCUGCGGCCUCAACCUCAACUGUUUCAACUACUUCUACAACAUCACAGACUGGAGUACUUGUCAGCUGAGUCCAAACGCUGUGUGUGGGAGCGGCAUCAAGACACGGAUGCUCGACUGUGUUCGCAGCGACGGCAAAUCAGUCGACUUGAAAUUCUGUGAUGAGCUGAACUUGGAGAAGAAGUGGCAGAUGAACAUCUCCUGCGUAGUCGAGUGUCCCGUCAACUGUCAGCUAUCAGAGUGGUCGGCCUGGUCAGCGUGUUCACAGACCUGCGGACUAGAGGGUAAGAUGUGGCGGCGGCGGUCGGUGGUUCAGGCCUCUCAGGGCGACGGCCGGCCCUGCCCUUCUCAGAUGGAGCAGUGGAAGCCAUGUCCUGUCAGGCCCUGCUACCGUUGGAGGUACAGCGCCUGGUCUGAGUGUCGGGUGGAGAGUGUGGUGUGCGGACAUGGCAUGCGCUAUAGAAACCUGUCCUGCUUCGUGUCGGACGGCUCCAUCGACGGCAAGGUCGGCGAUGGCAGCCUGGUGGACGAGGAACUGUGCAGCAGCCUGGAGCUCGCUGUUGACGGAGACAAGCAGAUCAGACUGAAGGAAGCAUGUACCCUUCCCUGCCCAGGUGAGUGCUACCUGAUGGAGUGGUCAGACUGGAGCUCAUGUGUGAGCAUCUGUGUCAAAGAUGCCGGCGUGGACUUUGGUUCGGUUCAGGUUCGCUCGCGAGCCGUGUUGGCCCAGGAGCCUGAAAACCUGCAGCUCUGUCCGGACCAGGCGUGGGAGUCUCAGCCCUGCACCGGGGGCGAAUGUUAUGAGUACAAGUGGUUCAGCAGCGUUCGUCCAAACUCCACUCACCCUUUUAUCUGGUGUCAGCGCUCAGAUGGACUCAACGUCACCGGAGGUUGUCCUCCUAUAAACCCUCCACUGGCCAACAGCUCCUGUGACCCUGCCUGUCUGAUGCAGAAGUCUAUCUGCAGCGAGGCUGGUAUAUGCAUGUGUGAGGAAGGAUUCACAGAGGUGCUGUCGCCCACUGGGCAGCUGGAACAAUGCGCCCCCAUCCCAGUCCUGGAGAUCCCCACAGCGGGGGACAAGAGGGGCGAUGUGAAGACCAGCCGUGCCAUUAACCCCACCCUGCCCAGCACCAUACAGCCCGGACGCACCGGACGAACCUGGUACCUACAGCCCUACGGCCCAGAUGGGAAGCUGAAGAUGUGGGUGUAUGGUGUAGCAGCCGGAGCAUUUGUGCUCCUCAUAUUCAUAGUGUCUAUGAUAUACCUAGCUUGCACCUACUGUGCCAAGGUGCAUCACUCUCUUAAGGCGCAAGAGUCUGACGCCAAUGGGAUGGCGGUCUGGAUGGGCCAAAAUGCACAUGAGAUGAUUUACACCUGUCCCGAUUGCCAAGAGCUGGCUCAAAGCAGCAGCGCCUAAUGAGGAUGUGGAGGGUUCCGCAGCCCCUCCACAUCCUGCAGCCCUUGACCUUUCCCUGUGACCUCUCAGAACCAUGUCACAAGUCCUGCCUGACUAGCCAAGUGAAGGUGCUGGUGCAGCAAAAACCCAAAGAGUCCUCAGAGACAGAGGCAACAAAACAACCGACUAAAACCUCUGACUCUCGCCUACGACGGGGACACGGACAUGUAGUCCUCCGCUUCACCGAGCACUUGACCUGUCACAGAACACCACUUCAUCACGCCAUCACAGUGAGGGACAUGGGUGUUUGCGGCGUGAACGGACAUGUCAUACAACGGAGACAUUAGAGAAAAACCUCUUAGCAGAGACACUGGUUGGUUAAACCAACUCAAGUAGAGCAGUAUUCAGCCCCCCCCCCCCCCCCCCCCCGACUUUUCUGUAUGUUUUUCUUUUACUUGUUUUCUUUUGCAAGAGCCUUCCACCGGUUUCAAUGAAAUGCCUUCCCUUUUUUUUUGCCCCCUUCAUGUCCACAUCUCUCUAAUAAAAUGGAUUGUCUGGGUGCAGAAGACAGAGCCAGCUCUCCGCUCUCCGUCUCUGAACCUUCAAACUCUUCUCCUGCACUUUUCUGCUUGUCCCUAAAAAUGCUGAGUAGCUGGAGGCUUAGGAUGCGCUGACGGUUCGUACGUUGCCAAAAGUUACUGCAGGGAAGAGGAGGAGGAGGAAAAUCUCCAUGAAAAGGUUUGGAUUCCUUUUUGCUGCAAUCCUCAACUGGGUUUUGACUCUAAUCUCUUUUACAGUCUCGAACAAAAGGGAGGCAUUUCUUCCCUUCUUCUUUUUUUCUUUCUCUCUUUUGCUCGAGUUAGAGGCAGACAGGCCCGAGUUUGGGGGAUAAACUGAUGCUGAUGGAGAAGUAGCCUGCGAUCAGUUGUCCGGGGAAACUACCGCCUGCCUGCCUCCACCCUUGCUUUGUUUCAGACACUACAUUGCACUAUAUUAGUGCAGCAUGAUAUGCACAUGUGACUUCUACCUUUUAUUGCCAUAAAAACAACUGCCUCUUCCACCACGCAGCGGAGGAACUGCCGAGCUCAACGCGAGAACAUUCACAGGAAAACGACGGCAACAGGAAAAGACCAUUAGAUGCGUGACAUUCACCAAGUGUGAUCCUCAAGUAAAUAUAUGUAUAGAUUUUAUUUCUCACUGAUUCUUUUGGUUGUAGUAAAGUACCUUUUGUGGUUUGUAGAUUUCGUCUGGUGUUAUCACUUGUUUUUUCUGCCCAGAUGCAAUUAAAUUUCCAACAACAGGCAACUCAUUUUAAUGGAUUACCUGCUUUAAAGUUCUUUUAAAUCUAUAAAAAUUCAGAUCAAACUCAAAUUCUUUAUUUUUUUAUCUGCAGGAGUUUGAUGUGGAAGAGCUGAAAUGUCGCCGUGGUUAAAAAACAAAAAGAUGAAUGAAUUUAAACCAUUCACGUCAUACAAAUGUCAUUUCUGCCUUACUGACAAUAACUAAACACUAACAGUCCUGUAGUUUAGCUUUUAAUACUUGAAUGGGACAUUAUACAUUAUACACUGCAGCAAAUACAGAUAUAUUAAUGAAACACUAUUUGCUUUUCUUUUGAGGAUUUAAAACAGAAAUUCUUAGUCGGUAUUAUAGUUCCUCUAUUGUUUUUCUGCCACGAUACAUGAGGAGAAAGAUAAAUUAAAAAAGAUCUGUACAAAACAAAAAGUAUAGGAAAUAUGAAUUACAAGCAAACAUGCCUCUGCUGAGUUCUACAUCAAAUCAAAACUGGUGAGAAGAAUUUUUCCUUAUUUUUCUGUGGGGUUUGUAAAUAACAGCGAUUUUUUUAUUUUUUUGGAGAAAAAAAAAAUCUAAUUAUGUGUACAUUUAUUUUAUAUCACACAGAAAAUGUCUAGUUGGACUAUUGCAAAGUGGGUGUAUGAUACUGAUGAUUGUCGUUAUCAUGAUGCAAGUUGUAUGUUGUGACAAAAAAAAGGGAAAGAUAAAAAAUGACGAUGAGACAGAAAAGACGAAGGCUCAGAUGUUUUGUACAGGUUGUUAAUAUGUAUGGGAAGAAUUAUUGAAAAUAAAGGAGGACACGGUUGUAAACUUA